AUUUUUAAAAAUGAUGAUAAUUUCAUACCCAACUCAGAGAAAUAAUGUUGAAAUCUAUUUAACAUGCAUCACCAUCUGAAUAAGUU